GACCAACUUGAGUUACAACCAGCCCUCACAAACAAAUUGAAUUUGAACAAGAAGAUCCACCUGACUCAACCAGACAUAGCUCCCUUUCCUAAUUUACUGUUCCAUUCCUAAGGCUUUCUCCCUUUGGGCUCAGUGUGGACAGACAGGCACACAGCAGGACAGACCUGCAGACCCUACAGACAGCGCCUUGUGGAGGCACAGCAGCCCUUCCCUGGGCCGGAAGCAAAGACCCACCCCAACCUCUUUCCUGUCCUUCAUCAGUCUUUGCUGAACCUGGAAAGGAAAUGUGUUCCAAAGGCAGGAAAUGACCCAGAGACCUUAACAAUAUGUAAAAAGCUGAGCGGGUGUUUCCUCCACUUUGUUUCAAACUAUCUUAAUGUGUGUCCCAGGAAGCCUAACCUCUUGCCAGAUGGAGAUCUGUUUUUUGGCAUCUUCCAUCCCCGGCUGGUGACAUUUGCACAUUUUAGAAGGUAAACCUGUGCCCCACAUCUUCAGACUUGCAGAGAGGUGUAGUCCCAGGGAAGUCCUUCAGUCUCUGGCUGACAGCUCCGAUCAUCUGAUCUGCUUCAUCUGUAGCCGAACUGCUGCUGGACUCCAGCCUAGAACACAGGCACGCUGAGUCUGUUCUCGAAGAUUUGCAGAACCUGAAAUCAAAGUGCCUGGUGCUGCCAGAAAAGGCUGGCUCCCUCUCCUGCUUCUUAAUCCCUUCUAACCAGGCGUCCCUAAAGAAACUCGAUGAGUCAGAAAGGAAGAAAAUGUGUCUGAGGGAGAUCUGUGGGGUGGGCUGGCUUCUUUCACUGCUUCUGAAAACUCCUUUCUGUUUUCCAGUGCCAGUCAUGCUUGGGGGUUUGCUUUUACUUUUUCUGUUUCUUCUUCUGUCACCUCUCACUUACCAUGUUACUCUCAUUUACCAUGCUGGGGAUGAGCUCUGCAGGAGCAGGCGACUCUCUGAUGGAGUAUGAGUCACUGCUGCAAAGGAGUAUAGACUUCGCUUUUGUCCACAGGAGCAGGGUAAGAAAAAGCUCCCACUCCUGCUUCCGGAAGGAACCAUCACUCAACUGCUUUGUUCUAGCCCCAGGGCCUGUACUUUUCACAGGUUUUUAAUUUUUACUGAGCAUUAUCCAUCAGCCUUCCCACCAAAGGCUGUGCCAGCUGGAGUCUAAACACACCAAAGUGGUUUCUGGGAUACCUGCUCCAAAUGGGGAUCCCCCACUCCAGUGGAAAGUACUGUAGUUGCAUGAAAAAAGUGCCCAACUCGCGACAUGUUCAAACUGCUAAACAGGAAAAAGUCUAGAGAAUUCAGUGUAUUUAUUGACAUCUGACUUACAGAAAGCCCCAGCAAAAAGCUUCCUUUUUGAGAAGUUCCACAUCAGUCUGGUAGAGACGGGUUCCAGGGAGGGCAUUGCUCCACUGAAUUCUAGCCUCAGACACCUGUCCUCCCAUGCAGAGCUGCUCUCUAAAAUUGUGUUGUUUAUUAGGAAAUUGGUUUUUAGAAGUGUCUUCUGAUAAGCUUGGAUUUAUCCCUGAAAGGGAAUAUGGGCUCUGUUACAAAACAGUAGCUUAAUAUCAGAGACAGGAUGUAUCAACUGUAUGUAGCUGUUAGUAAAUAGUAGAAGCUAAGAGAGCUUCACAAAAGGAAACAUGGCCGUGUCUCCUCUGCCUAUAGAAAAUGGACUGGGAAAAAGCUAGGAACAGGAGACAGAAGGUAUCUUUCCACCUAUUCACAUCAGCCCAACAGGAUAAGUAACUCAUAUUACGAUCAUUUCAACCCUAAUGAAGAAGAGAAACUAUUGGCUCAGAAGGAAAAACAAGGGGUUUUGAUUUCAAGCUAUAUUUAAGCCUCAAAGAACUGUUGUCAAGGUCACUGACAUAAUCCAAGAGACUUUGGGCUACAAUAACAAGAAUUCAAGUUCUCCUCUGCUGUGCUGCCCGGCCUUAGAGCCAGCUGACUACAAACAGAAGCCUCUACAAAAUAAACCUCUCCUCGUUUAAGUUAUGGGUGUCAAGUAUUGAGUCACAGGGAAAGUAACUAAGACAUACACCUUCUCCAACAUUAGCAAUGCAAAGCCAGAGCUUUAUACCAUGACAGUGAAUGUCAUGUUCUGCUUAAUGCUUCUGGUUUGCAGUUCAUGGAGCAGGGAGCCUGGUUUUAUGGAAGCUAGGAAGAUGAGUCACUUCAUGACAGAACCCGGAGAAAAGUGGUGUUUGGAUCUGAAUCUGAAAUGUCAUGCAUUUUUGGCCAAGUCGCUCGUUCUCAUCUCUUGUGUGAAGUGUGGCACCCAUCUCUGGAUUUCAGAAUUUUCCUGGAAGUCGUGCCCAUCUGUGACUUCACAUUUCUCACAGCCAUGGAAAUAACUAUGUGUUGACACAUUGGCUCUGCCUAAUAUUUAAUGGGGUGAAGAAAUGCUCCUGUGAGUAUAUGUUGUCUUAUUCUUUCUCCACCAGGAGAUCAGUUUCCUGUCAACAUACAGGAAACUAGAAAGUUGCAGCCUAAUAAUAUAGCUGCUGACAGGAAGAUUGUUGUGUUGACUGCUUUUCCACAUUUCUCAAUUGGAUAAUGUUGUUGAAGGAUGACUGCUUAUUUUAUUUAUGAUUCUGGAUCAACUAAAAGGCUACCUGACUGUAUGGAGCAGAAGUUACAUAUAAAAUCCUUGUGUGAAGCAUAACCUCUUCCAUGGGUUUUCCUGGAGACUCCAAGGGAAGACUGAUGAGUUGCUGGUGGAAAGAAAGCUCCUUAAGAACAAUUUCCGGAUUGGAUUUUUCUCCUUGGCUCUCAGAAGCAGGAAAAAUUUUUUCCUUCCCACUGAGUUUCUUCUCUCUCCUCUAACCCCCACAUACACUAGUUCUGAAGGGUGAGCUGAGACAUCUUUCUAAACAGCCUCCAGUCAGGUUCCAGAAUAUGGUGGAUAUUCAUAAAGAGAGCAUACAAAAUUCCGUUCUGAAAAUUUUUCAAGUAAAAAUCUCCAUUAUUUUAAUUCCUCAGAAAUCAGUGCCCAAUCUCUUGCCCUACCUUCACUCACCCUCUUCUUGCAUUAACCAGGUCUAUUGUUGGCUAGAAUCCCAUGGACUCAAGAAUUCAAUAAAGAAUUGUUUCCUUCCUUUUCCCCAGAGACUGGUGGCUUUCUGAUCCCUUUAUUUUGCCAAAUACCCUAAAGCUAUGGAUAUUGCACUAACUUCAGAAAAUAGCAGAGCUGGUCCCUUUGAGGAGAUGCCGCUGCCCUGAGUUUAGUGUCCAUGCCAACUCAGCCUCUCAUCUUGCCCACAAGCUGGUUUUUGAGCUUUUUGGUAGAAUUCAAACAAAUCCAAAGAAACACUUGAUUCAGUGAAAACAAGAAUAACCAGUUUUGAAACAAUAAGGGAGGAGGAGAUGGAAAAAAAUUUACAUUAUCCCCCCCAUAAAAGGUUCAGAAAGGUUUCAAAAUAAUCUUAUUAAAGUCACAGAUAUGACCUCCUCCUUCCUUUCCCUGAAUUUUUAACCUGGACCCAAAUUUCAAGCCCAAGCCAUCAAUACAAUAUAGGCUCUUCAGUGUCAAGGGCAACAUUCCUGGGAGUGUUCUUUGCUGAUAGCACUCUGGGGACAAAUGCAGCAAAUGAAAGACACAGUAGGGUCCUUAGGAAUUGUACUAGAAGAAGAUGGAUGAAACAAAGACCCAAACAAAUGGUCAAGAAUAUGCCAAUAAUGAUGGUAAGGGCCAAAUGCAAAACAGACACACUUGCUGUGGGAACGAGGAGUGGAAUGGGAGGACCAUGUCUGUUAUCUAGGGAGAGCUUCUUUAUUAAAUUCUCGAGUCCAUGGAAUUCUGGUCAGCAAUAGAACUGGUUAAUUCAAGAAGAGGGUGAGUUAAGGUAGGGCAAGGUGGUCUGGGGGAAAGGAUACGAAGCAAGGAAAGGAGGGCAGUCUCUCUGGAAACUGAGAGGAUACUUUGGAUCGUCUCUGCUUUUUCUCUUAGUGACUAUGUUUUAUCCAUCACACAUGUUUGUUCUUUGGUUUAAGUAAUUCAGACCACUCUGAGUUGAUCUGAUUUCAGAAGAAUCCUUGAUUGUAGGAUUUUUAAAAAACAUAGAAUCUGAUUGUAUAAUGUGAAAACUUCAUUUUGAAUAAAAAAGCCAAGAUGUGAAGCACACUGCUUCCUUGAGUCAUACCCCUCUCC